rnacentral:rRNA from 1 species
GAUGAACGCUAGCUACAGGCUUAACACAUGCAAGUCGAGGGGAAACGAUAUUGGAAGCUUGCUUCCGAUAGGCGUCGACCGGCGCACGGGUGAGUAACGCGUAUCCAACCUGCCCACCACUUGGGGAUAACCUUGCGAAAGUAAGACUAAUACCCAAUGACGUCUCUAGAAGACAUCUGAAAGAGAUUAAAGAUUUAUCGGUGAUGGAUGGGGAUGCGUCUGAUUAGCUUGUUGGCGGGGUAACGGCCCACCAAGGCUACGAUCAGUAGGGGUUCUGAGAGGAAGGUCCCCCACAUUGGAACUGAGACACGGUCCAAACUCCUACGGGAGGCAGCAGUGAGGAAUAUUGGUCAAUGGGCGAGAGCCUGAACCAGCCAAGUAGCGUGCAGGAUGACGGCCCUAUGGGUUGUAAACUGCUUUUAUAAGGGAAUAAAGUGAGUCUCGUGAGACUUUUUGCAUGUACCUUAUGAAUAAGGACCGGCUAAUUCCGUGCCAGCCGCCGCGGUAACAC